rnacentral:rRNA from 1 species
GACGAACGCUGGCGGCGUGCUUAACACAUGCGAGUCGAACGGAAAGGCCCUGCUUUUGUGGGGUGCUCGAGUGGCGAACGGGUGAGUAACACGUGAGUAACCUGCCCUUGACUUUGGGAUAACUUCAGGAAACUGGGGCUAAUACCGGAUAGGAGCUCCUGCUGCAUGGGGGGGGUUGGAAAGUUUCGGCGGUUGGGGAUGGACUCGCGGCUUAUCGGCUUGUUGGUGGGGUAGUGGCGUACCAAGGCUUUGACGGGUAGCCGGCCUGAGAGGGUGACCGGGCACAUUGGGACUGAGAUAGGGCCCAGACUCCAACGGGAGGCAGCAGUGGGGAGUCUUGCACAGUGGGCGGAAGCGUGAUGCAGCAACGCCGCGUGCGGGAUGACGGCCUUCGGGUUGUAAACCGCUUUCGCCUGUGACGAAGCGUGAGUGUCGGUAAUGGGUAAAGAAGCACCGGCUAACUACGUG